UGGGGUAUAUUGCACAAUGGGCGCACGUCUGAUGCAGCCAUGCCGCGUGUAUGAAGAAGGCCUUCGGGUUGUAAAGUACUUUCAGGCGGGAGGAAGGUGGUAAGGUUAAUAACCUUAUCAAUUGACGUUACCGACAGAAGAAGCACCGGCUAACUCCGUGCUAGCAGCCGCGGUAAUACGGAGGGUGCAAGCGUUAUUCGGAAUUACUGGGCGUAAAGCGUACGCAGGCGGUUGAUUGAGUCAGAUGUGAAAUCCCCGGGCUUAACCCGGGGAUUGCAUCUGAUACUGGUCAGCUAGAGUCUUGUAGAGGGGGGUAGAAUUCCAUGUGUAGCGGUGAAAUGCGUAGAGAUGUGGAGGAAUACCGGUGGCGAAGGCGGCCCCCUGGACAAAGACUGACGCUCAGGUGCGAAAGCGUGGGGAGCAAACAGG
rnacentral:rRNA from 1 species